rnacentral:rRNA from 1 species
AUUUUUAUGGAGAGUUUGAUCCUGGCUCAGGAUGAACGCUGGCGGCGUGCCUAAUACAUGCAAGUCGAGCGAACAGAUAAGGAGCUUGCUCCUUUGAC